AUUUUUCAUGGCCGUAAGUUACCAAUAAUAUAUUUUCUUCACACAGGCUGCUAAGCAAGAUAAAUUGUUAGAGUUACAACGUGAUGCAAUUUCCUGUCUUCAACAAAAAAUCAGUUCUAUGGAACAAGAUAAUCGUUUGUUUAUUGUCUUCAUCCACAUCAUGUAUUAUUCAAUUAUAAAAGAAAUACAGGUAGACAAAUUUGAUAUUCUCUUAAGGAACUCUGAAAAGUCAUUUCACGUGUUUGACCUUAUAUUAAAAAAAGAAAAUUUAUUCAUUAUUUAUUCAUUAGUAAUUUUAUUACAGUUAGGCGACGCGUCUAGCGUAAUCUUUAUGCCUACAUUUUGUGUACAAGUAUUAGCACCUGUUAUUAAAAAACUUAGUGUUUCUAUACAAUAAUAUUAAUAUUAAUAUUCUAUGUAAACCAUACUGCACUUGCGGGCCAGCGUUAUAUGAACUUCUAACGAUCUGGGUCGUACUCCGAUCUUACAAUAUCAGCACGUUUGGUAUUUUACUCUUCUAAACAGAAUGCACGAAGCUUCAUGCUGUUUUAUUAAAUUAAUUAAGAUCUAAAAGAGAAGAAAAUGACUAAUAAUCAAUAGUAAUAAAAGAAAAUACAUGUACUGCUUUUGAAGUCUUAUGGCAUUUUAAUUUUGAUUGAACAACAAUUAGAGAGUCGUUUGAUUGACAUUCAAGCUUUAAAAAAUAAGGUGUGUCGUUAGUAUUAUAAAAAAUCAAAUAUCUUUUAAACUAUGUCUAAUAAACUAUGUUCAUUUUUAGGUAAUCUAUAUUGAAAGUAAAUAUUUAAAUGCCAAAAAACUAUUGCAAGAAAAAGAAGGAAAAUUACAGGAAUUAAG